AUCCGGCUGUAAUAAAAGCAGCUUUCCGUCGAAAAACGGAUUGAAAAAUCGGGUGAAUUCAGGGAAGCCUAAGUUUCUUUCGUGUCAUUGCGAGGAAUCCCGCUUCCGUAUGACUUUGUGAAAAUGAUGCGGGAUGACGCGUCAAUCACGAGUUGGAAUAUGGUAACCCUGAGCCGAGUCCCGCAUCCAUUAGUUGUGCGGGGAAGGUGCAGAGACUAUUCCUUUAAGGAAGUACCUUCCGCUAAAUGCGGUUGGGAAGCGCCCGAUUCCGUCUUGCUGGAGAAUCUUCAGCAACGGAAAUGAGAUAGUCCAUUCUCCAAUGAAAAUUGGAG
rnacentral:ncRNA from 1 species